UUAGGGUUUGAUUACGGUUUAGGGUUAGGAUUUGGUUAGGAUUUGGUUUAGGGUGUAGGAUUUGUUAGGAUUAAGGUAUGAUUUAGGAUUUAGGAUUUAAUUUGAGAUUUGAUUUAGGAUUUAGGAUUUAAUUUGAGAUUUGAUUUAGGAUUUAGGAUUUGGUUUAGGAUUUGGUUAGGGUUUUAUUUAGGAUUUAGGGUUUGGUUAGGAUUUGAUUUAGGAUUUAGGAUUUAGUUAAGGUUUGGUUUAGGGUUUAGGAUUUGGAUUAGAAUUUGGUUUAGGGUUUAAGAUUUGGAUUAGGAUUUGGUUAGAGUUUGAUUUAAGAUUUAGGGUUUGGUUUAGGAUUUGAUUAAGAUUUGGUUUAGCAUUUGGUUGUGGUUUGGUUUAAGGUUUGUUUAAGGUCUGAUUUAGGAUUUAGGAUUUUAAUAGGAUUUAAGAUUCAAUUAAUUUUGGCCUAAAGUUUUAAUGAAGUUCAAUA
rnacentral:lncRNA from 1 species